CCGACCUUUGACGACGAAACUGUAGCAUUUUGAAUAUUGGUUUAUGAGCUAAAUUAGACGUGGAAAAUCAAAAAUCCAAAGAAAUCCAAAAUGAGACAUCGGAUCGAGUCCAAAUUUUACACACAUGUUGGUGCUAACCUUAAUGUCGUUCGAUAAAAAUUUCGGAAAAUUUCGCCAUUAGGGGGCGCAAUAAACUAGGAAAUUGUAUAUCUUCUAAUUGGCCAAAGGAAUGUUCUUCAAACUCAAGGGAAACCAUCAAGGGGCAAACCCGAGUCUAUAUAGAAAAUAUGGCCAAGAAUUAUUAAUGUGGGCGGGAGUUAUUUGGCAAAGGAAAAUUGUCCUUGGAAAAUUUCGCCACAGGGCGGCGCCAAAAAACGACGACAUUGUCUAUCUCCUAUUUGGCCGCAGUUCUAGUUAGGGGUCCAAGCCAACAGGUUGGAUCCCUAUUGUUUUUGUAAGGAUUUUUAUACUUCCCGCGGUGAAAGUGAUACUACAGCCCAAACCGUAAAUGUUGCACACGCGCCAAUUGCAUGACUUGAUCCAGAAUCGGCACCGCUACUCAGAUAACAAAAUCCAGACACGCCGGCCCCUAGGUGGCGCUAUACCAAAGAAUACGCGUUUGGGGCUAUAACUCCCACACCGAACCUCCCAGAGUCCAAAAACUUGUACACACAGAUGCACUGGAGUCUGCUGCAUCUUUUGGCCUAGGCCACGCCCAUUUGCGUCUAGGAAUAUUUUUCGCUAAAUCGCAAAAACCGCAAAACUGUUUUUUCGCUACUCCUCCCACAUUUCUCGACCAAUCAACACCAAACUUUGCACACGACAUCUUCAGACGCACACGCAAAGAAUGCACGAAACACUUUUUUGAUGCGACCUUUGACGACGAAACGGUAGCGUUUUGAAUAUUGGUUUAUUAGCUAAAUUAGACGUGGAAUAUCAAAAAUCCAAAGAAAUCCAAAAUUAGACAUCGGAUCGAGUCCAAAUUUUACACACAUGUUGGUGUUAACCUUAACGUCGUUCGAUAAAAAAAUCGGAAAAAUUCGCCAUUAGGGGGCGCAAUAAACGAGGAAAUUGUAUAUCUUCUACAAAAUUUCGCCGCGAAAACGCGACACUAACUUCUCGCUACUCCUACCACAGUCAAAUCCUUUGUAUCCACAUAUUCAGGGUAGCGUUUUCAACACAUGCUUCGCGUUGUGCCGGCGAAACGCACAUUUCUUGUCGCGUUGUGCCGGCGAAAUGCACACUUCUUGGACCCCUGCAUAACUGCUUGCAGUUCUAGUUAGGGGUCCAAGCCAACAGGUUGGAUCCCUAUUGUUUUUGUAAGGAUUAUUAUUCUUAUACUUCCUACCAAGAAAGUGGUACUACAGCCCAAACCGUAAAUGGUGCACACACGCCAAUUACAUGACUAGAUCCAGGUACGUGAAGACUAUGCAGACGACCAAAUCCAGACAUGCCGGCCACUAGGUGGCGCUAUACCAGGGAAUACGCGUUUGGGGCUAUAACUCCCACACCGAACGUCCCAGAGUCCAAAAACUUGUACACACAGAUGCACUGGAGUCUGCUGCAUCUUUUGGCAUAGGCCACGCCCAUUUGCUUCUAGAAUUUUUUUUCGCAAAAUCGCGAAAACCGCAAAACUGUUUUUUCGCUACUCCUCCAGCAUUUCUCGACCAAUCAACACCAAACUUUGCUCACGGCAUCUUCAGACGCACACGCAAAGAAACCCUCAGACAGUUUUUUGAUCCGACUUUCGACGAUGAAACGGUAGCGUUUUGAAUGUUGGUUUAUUAGCUAAAUUUGACGUGGAAAAUCAAAAAUCCAAAAAAAAACAAAAUUAGACAUCGGAUCGAGUCCACAUUUUACACACAUGUCGGGGCUAGCCUUAAUGUCGUUCGAUAAAAAAUUCGGAAAAUUUCGCCAUUAGGGGGCGCAAUAAACGAGGAAAUUGUAUAUCUUCUAAAAAAUUUCGCCGCGAAAACGCUACACUGACUUCUCGCUACUCCUACCACAGUCAAAUCCUUUGUAUCCACAGGUUCAGGGUAGCGUUUUGAACACAUGCUUCGCGUUGUGCCGCCGAAACGCACAUUUCUUGUCGCGUUGUGCCGGCGAAAUGCACACUUCUUGGACCCCUGCAUAACUGCUUGCAGUUCUAGUUAUUAUACUUCCCGUGCUAAAAGUGGGUCCACAGCCCAAACCGUAAAUGGUGCCGACACGCCAAUUGCAUGACUAGAUCCAGGUCCGGCACCGCUACUCAGAUAACAAAAUCCAGACACGCCGGCCACUAGGUGGCGCUAUACCAAGGAAAGACGCGUUUGGGGCUAUAACUCCCACACCGAACCUCCCACAUUCAAAACCUUGUACACGCAUAUUCACUGGAGUCUGCUGCAUCUUUUGGCAUAGGCCACGCCCAUUUGCGUCUAGAAUUUUUUUUCGCAAAAUCGCGAAAACCGCAAAACUAUUUUUUCCCUACUCCUCCCACAUUUCUUGACCAAUCGACACCAAACUUUGCCCACGACAUCUUCAGACACACACGCAAAGAAUGCAUGAAAAACACUUUUUUGAUCCGACCUUCGAUGACGAAACGGUAGCGUUUUGAAUAUUGGUUUAUUAGCUAAAUUAGACGUGGAAUAUCAAAAAUCCAAAGAAAUCCAAAAUUAGACAUCGGAUCGAGUCCAAAUUUUACACACAUGUUGGUGCUAACCUUAAUGUCGUUCGAUAAAAAUUUCGGAAAAUUUCGCCAUUAGGGGGCGCAAUAAACGUGGAAAUUGUAUA
rnacentral:lncRNA from 1 species